UACGAAGGGGGCUAGCGUUGCUCGGAAUUACUGGGCGUAAAGCGCACGUAGGCGGCUUGUUAAGUCAGGGGUGAAAUCCUGGAGCUCAACUCCAGAACUGCCUUUGAUACUGGCGAGCUUGAGUUCGGGAGAGGUGAGUGGAACUGCGAGUGUAGAGGUGAAAUUCGUAGAUAUUAGGAAGAACACCAGUGGCGAAGGCGGCUACCUGGACCAGCACUGACACUGAGGCACGAAAGCGUGGGGAGCAAACAGG
rnacentral:rRNA from 1 species